rnacentral:rRNA from 1 species
UGGGGAAUAUUGCACAAUGGGGGAAACCCUGAUGCAGCGACGCCGCGUGAGUGAAGAAGUAUUUCGGUAUGUAAAGCUCUAUCAGCAGGGAAGAUAAUGACAGUACCUGACUAAGAAGCCCCGGCUAACUACGUGCCAGCAGCCGCGGUAAUACGUAGGGGGCAAGCGUUAUCCGGAUUUACUGGGUGUAAAGGGAGCGUAGACGGAAUGGCAAGUCUGAAGUGAAAUACCCGGGCUCAACCUGGGAACUGCUUUGGAAACUGUUGUUCUAGAGUGUUGGAGAGGUAAGUGGAGUUCCUGGUGUAGCGGUGAAAUGCGUAGAUAUCAGGAAGAACACCGGAGGCGAAGGCGGCUUACUGGACAAUAACUGACGUUGAGGCUCGAAAGCGUGGGGAUCAAACAGGAUUAGAUACCCUGGUAGUCCACGCUGUAAACGAUGAAUACUAGGUGUCGGGGUGCAAAGCAUCUCGGUGCCGUCGCUAACGCAAUAAGUAUUCCACCUGGGGAGUACGUUCGCAAGAAUG